CGCGUAGGUGGCAAUCCAAGUCAUAUGUGAAAUUCCAGGGCUUAACCCUGGAGCUGCAAGUGAAACUGGAUAGCUAGAGGUAAGGCGGAGAAAACGGAAUUUCCCGUGUAGCGGUGAAAUGCGUGGAUAUGGGAAGGAACACCGGAGGCGAAGGCGGUUUUCUAGCUUUUACCUGACACUGAGGCGCGAAAGCGAGGGGAGCAAACA
rnacentral:rRNA from 1 species